AUUUCACCUCUGACAACGAAAUACGAAUGCCCCCAACUGUCUCUCUUAAUCAUUACUAAGGUUCCAGAAACCAACAAAAUAGAACCAAAGUCCUAUUCCAUUAUUCCAUGCUUAUGUAUUCAAGCGCUGGCUUGCUUUGAACACUCUAAUUUUUUCAAAGUAAACGUCACAGAUCCUGAGCACACUCAGUUAAGAGCACACACAGUCUUUGCGAAGAAGAACAGCUCGGCCAGUAACAUACCUUGCGGCAGACCGGCC
rnacentral:rRNA from 1 species